GAUAAUUGAUUUUGCCUGUUAUGAAAACAGAUAUAUAAACAACUUUUCGACGAAACUAACAACUUAUCCGUACUAUGCUGCAAGAAGUUUCCUGAAAGGCAGUGGAGCUUCAUGCCUUCAUCCAGAGGUCUACCUGAUCCGAGACAUGCGUAUAUCUGCACCAAGCGAGCUGGGUCAUGCAUUCCGUACUCAGGGUGUGCAACAUCAGGAUUCUGGCGACAGGCUAGGCGUUGUACAGGCAGAACAAUCAAAGCUUGAGACGUCAUCUAGCUACUUCCAUUUUCUCUGAGUGUCAAAUCUGAAUUCUACCACAAGUAACGUACAAUUGAAUACCUAGAUGGGUAAGACGAUGGCCGCGUGGCGUUCACGCAGGGGAGUUUGACCAGUAUGUACAACAUCAUUGGGACUGAGCAGCAGCCGUCGGACAGAUCCAUCAGGUCGACGACCUGCUCUUCGGCCUCUUCGAACAGCAACUUCUCGAUCGGAGACAGCGGCCCCUGC